GAUGAACGCUGGCGGCGUGCCUAGUACAUGCAAGUCGAGCGAACAGACGAGGAGCUUGCUCCUCUGACGUUAGCGGCGGACGGGUGAGUAACACGUGGAUAACCUACCUAUAAGACUGGGAUAACUUCGGGAAACCGGAGCUAAUACCGGAUAAUAUAUUGAACCGCAUGGUUCAAUAGUGAAAGACGGUUUUGCUGUCACUUAUAGAUGGAUCCGCGCCGCAUUAGCUAGUUGGUAAGGUAACGGCUUACCAAGGCGACGAUGCGUAGCCGACCUGAGAGGGUGAUCGGCCACACUGGAACUGAGACACGGUCCAGACUCCUACGGGAGGCAGCAGUAGGGAAUCUUCCGAAAUGGGCGAAAGCCUGACGGAGCAACGCCGCGUGAGUGAUGAAGGUCUUCGGAUCGUAAAACUCUGUUAUUAGGGAAGAACAAAUGUGUAAGUAACUAUGCACGUCUUGACGGUACCUAAUCAGAAAGCCACGGCUAACUACGUG
rnacentral:rRNA from 1 species